rnacentral:rRNA from 1 species
GGGUCAGUAGGUUGGUCGUGCCACCGGUACGUACUGGUCUCACUGAUUCCUCCUUCCUGAAGAACCGUAAUGCCAUUAAUUUGGUGUUGCGGGGAAACAGGACUGUUACUUUGAAAAAAUUAGAGUGUUUAAAGCAAGCUAACGCUUGAAUGCAUUAGCAUGGAAUAAUGAAAUAGGACGAUCGAUCCUAUUUUGUUGGUUUCUAGGAUUGACGUAAUGAUUAAUCGGGAUAUUGGG